rnacentral:rRNA from 1 species
CAACUUUCAGCAACGGAUCUCUUGGCUCUCGCAUCGAUGAACAACGCAGCGAAAUGCGAUAAGUAAUGUGAAUUGCAGAAUUCAGUGAAUCAUCGAAUCUUUGAACGCACCUUGCGCUCCUUGGUAUUCCGAGGAGCAUGCCUGUUUGAGUGUCAUUA